UACGUAGGGUGCGAGCGUUGUCCGGAAUUAUUGGGCGUAAAGAGCUCGUAGGCGGUUUGUUGCGUCUAUCGUGAAAACCUGCAGCUUAACUGUGGGCUUGCGGUGGAUACGGGCAGACUUGAGUUCGGUAGGGGAGACUGGAAUUCCUGGUGUAGCGGUGAAAUGCGCAGAUAUCAGGAGGAACACCAACGGCGAAAGCACUCUGCUGGGCCGACACUGACACUGAGAGACGAAAGCUAGGGGAGCGAAUGGG
rnacentral:rRNA from 1 species